rnacentral:rRNA from 1 species
GCGAUGCAGUCGAACGGUGAACACCAGAGCUUGCUCUGUGGGAUCAGUGGCGAACGGGUGAGUAACACGUGAGCAACCUGCCCCUGACUCUGGGAUAAGCGCUGGAAACGGCGUCUAAUACUGGAUACGAACCACGACCGCAUGGUCAGUGGUUGGAAAGAAUUUCGGUUGGGGAUGGGCUCGCGGCCUAUCAGCUUGUUGGUGAGGUAAUGGCUCACCAAGGCGUCGACGGGUAGCCGGCCUGAGAGGGUGACCGGCCACACUGGGACUGAGACACGGCCCAGACUCCUACGGGAGGCAGCAGUGGGGAAUAUUGCACAAUGGGCGCAAGCCUGAUGCAGCAACGCCGCGUGAGGGAUGACGGCCUUCGGGUUGUAAACCUCUUUUAGCAGGGAAGAAGCGAAAGUGACGGUACCUGCAGAAAAAGCGCCGGCUAACUACGUGCCAGCAGCCGCGGUAAUACGUAGGGCGCAAGCGUUAUCCGGAAUUAUUGGGCGUAAAGAGCUCGUAGGCGGUUUGUCGCGUCUGCUGUGAAAUCCCGAGGCUCAACCUCGGGCCUGCAGUGGGUACGGGCAGACUAGAGUGCGGUAGGGGAGAUUGGAAUUCCUGGUGUAGCGGUGGAAUGCGCAGAUAUCAGGAGGAACACCGAUGGCGAAGGCAGAUCUCUGGGCCGUAACUGACGCUGAGGAGCGAAAGGGUGGGGAGCAAACAGGCUUAGAUACCCUGGUAGUCCACCCCGUAAACGUUGGGAACUAGUUGUGGGGUCCAUUCCACGGAUUCCGUGACGCAGCUAACGCAUUAAGUUCCCCGCCUGGGGAGUACGGCCGCAAGGCUAAAACUCAAAGGAAUUGACGGGGACCCGCACAAGCGGCGGAGCAUGCGGAUUAAUUCGAUGCAACGCGAAGAACCUUACCAAGGCUUGACAUAUACGAGAACGGGCCAGAAAUGGUCAACUCUUUGGACACUCGUAAACAGGUGGUGCAUGGUUGUCGUCAGCUCGUGUCGUGAGAUGUUGGGUUAAGUCCCGCAACGAGCGCAACCCUCGUUCUAUGUUGCCAGCACGUAAUGGUGGGAACUCAUGGGAUACUGCCGGGGUCAACUCGGAGGAAGGUGGGGAUGACGUCAAAUCAUCAUGCCCCUUAUGUCUUGGGCUUCACGCAUGCUACAAUGGCCGGUACAAAGGGCUGCAAUACCGCGAGGUGGAGCGAAUCCCAAAAAGCCGGUCCCAGUUCGGAUUGAGGUCUGCAACUCGACCUCAUGAAGUCGGAGUCGCUAGUAAUCGCAGAUCAGCAACGCUGCGGUGAAUACGUUCCCGGGUCUUGUACACACCGCCCGUCAAGUCAUGAAAGUCGGUAACACCUGAAGCCGUAU